rnacentral:rRNA from 1 species
GACAGAGGGUGCAAACGUUGUUCGGAAUUACUGGGCGUAAAGCGUGUGUAGGCGGCUUUGCAAGUCGGAUGUGAAAGCCCCGGGCUCAACCCGGGAAGUGCACUCGAUACUGCAGAGCUUGAGUGUGGGAGAGGUUGGUGGAAUUCUCGGUGUAGAGGUGAAAUUCGUAGAUAUCGAGAGGAACACCGGCGGCGGAGGCGGCCAACUGGACCACUACUGACGCUGAGACACGAAAGCGUGGGGAGCAAACAGG